GCCCGCUCAGAAACUCAAAGGAAUUGACGGGGCCCGCACAAGCGGUGGAGUAUGUGGUUUAAUCGAUGCAACGCGAAGAACCUUACCUGGUCUUGACAUCCCGGAGACCCUUAGGAAACUAGGGGGUGCUUCCAUCUGGAAGAAUCUGGAGACAGGUGCUGCAUGGCUGUCGUCAGCUCGUGUCGUGAGAUGUUGGGUUAAGUCCCGCAACGAGCGCAACCCUUGCCUUUAGUUGCCAGCAGUUCGGCUGGGCACUCUAAAGGGACUGCCGGUGUUAAACCGGAGGAAGGUGGGGAUGACGUCAAGUCCUCAUGGCCUUUAUGACCAGGGCUACACACGUACUACAAUGGCCGAUACAAAGGGCAGCGACACUGCGAGGUGAAGCCAAUCCCGUAAAAUCGGUCUCAGUCCGGAUUGGAGUCUGCAACUCGACUCCAUGAAGUUGGAAUCGCUAGUAAUCGUGGAUCAGCAUGCCACGGUGAAUACGUUCCCGGGCCUU
rnacentral:rRNA from 1 species